ensembl:rRNA 5S_rRNA 5S ribosomal RNA
GCUUACGGCCAUACCAGCCUGAAUACGCCCAAUCUCGGAAACUAAGCUGGGUCGGGCCUGGUUAGUACUUGGAUGGGAGACCGCCUGGGAAUACGAGGGGCUGUAAGCA